CAUGGACGGGUGAGUGGGCGAAUUCUCGGCCCGCCUUUUUGGCGGUGAGGCCGCGGCAGCGUGCGCGCAAGCGUGGUGCUGUUGCCGGCGUCGCUCCGCACGCGGAGGCUCGGUCCUAUUUCUAGAGUACGCUUUUGUCUUUCCCUCCCCCGCCCAAGACUACCCGCUGAACUUAAGCAUAUCAAUAAGCGGAGGAAAAGAAACCAACAGGGAUUGCCCCAGUAACGGCGAGUGAAGCGGCACCAGCUCAAAUUUGAAAUCCUCGGAGUUGUAAUUUGAGGGCGCCUGCGCUCGCGCCCGCCUCUCUUCCGAGUCCAUUGGAACAUGGCGCCACAGAGGGUGACAGCCCCAUGGAAAGAGACGCGGGCGUCCACGCGCAGCCGCCCAAGAGUCGAGUUGUUUGGGAAUGCAGCUCUAACCGGUGGUAAACUCCAUCCAAGGCUAAAUACCGGCGAGAGACCGAUAGCGAACAAGUACAGUGAUGGAAAGAUGAAAAGCACUUUGAAAAGAGAGUGAAACAGCACGUGAAAUUGUUGAAAGGGAAGGG
rnacentral:rRNA from 1 species